rnacentral:rRNA from 1 species
UUCCCUACGGGAGGCAGCAGUGGGGAAUAUUGGGCAAUGGAGGCAACUCUGACCCAGCAAUGCCGCGUGAAUGAAGAAGGUCUUCGGAUUGUAAAGUUCUUUCAUCAGGGACGAAGAAGAUGACGGUACCUGAGGAAUAAGCCACGGCAAACUAUGUGCCAGCAGCCGCGGUAAUACAUAGGUGGCAAGCGUUGUCCGGAAUGACUGGGCGUAAAGGGAGCGUAGGCGGUCUGUUAAGUUGGAAGUGAAAUCCCGGGGCUCAACCCCGGAACUGCUUUCAAGACUGACGGACUUGAGUGUAAGAG